UUUAUGGCCAAUACACCACCAGUGGAGCUAGAGUUCAAAUACACGGGUCUUCAAAAAUUAUGUACUACUUGUGGUAGUUUGAAGCAUGGGUAUGAAGCUUGUCCAAAAUGUUUAUCUCUACCUCCACAAAUUGGCCAGUUGAUGAUGGUAGGGAACAGUCCUUAUACCACUGCAGCUAAUCGACAUCAAGCUAUACAAGGAUUAAAUACUUUUCUGCAAACUGGUGAAACCUCUGGAGCAAUGAAUUUUCCACUCCUGUUAGCUCAACCCCCAAUUCAGAACACCAAUACGAAUGGUGCUUCAUCAAGU
rnacentral:lncRNA from 1 species